rnacentral:rRNA from 1 species
GCUUACGGCCAUACCACCCUGAACACGCCCAAUCUCGUCUGAUCUCGGAAGCUAAGCAGGGUCGGGCCUGGUUAGUACUUGGAUGGGAGACCGCCUGGGAAUACCAGGUGCUGUAAGCU